AUUGAACGCUGGCGGCAGGCCUAACACAUGCAAGUCGAACGGUAACAGGAAGAAGCUUGCUUCUUUGCUGACGAGUGGCGGGCGGGUGAGUAAUGUCUGGGAAACUGCCUGAUGGAGGGGGAUAACUACUGGAAACGGUAGCUAAUACCGCAUAACGUCGCAAGACCAAAGAGGGGGACCUUCGGGCCUCUUGCCAUCGGAUGUGCCCAGAUGGGAUUAGCUAGUAGGUGGGGUAACGGCUCACCUAGGCGACGAUCCCUAGCUGGUCUGAGAGGAUGACCAGCCACACUGGAACUGAGACACGGUCCAGACUCCUACGGGAGGCAGCAGUGGGGAAUAUUGCACAAAGGGCGCAAGCCUGAUGCAGCCAUGCCGCGUGUAUGAAGAAGGCCUUCGGGUUGUAAAGUACUUUCAGCGGGGAGGAAGGGAGUAAAGUUAAUACCUUUGCUCAUUGACGUUACCCGCAGAAGAAGCACCGGCUAACUCCGUG
rnacentral:rRNA from 1 species